UACCAGCACCCGAGUGGUCGGGACGUUUAUUGGGCCUAAAGCAUCCGUAGCCGGUUCUACAAGUCUUCCGUUAAUCCACCUGCUCAACAGAUGGGCUGCGGAAGAUACUAUGGAGCUAGGAGGCGGGAGAGGCAAGCGGUACUCGAUGGGUAGGGGUAAAUCGUUGAUCCAUUGAAGACCACCAGUGGCGAAGGCGGCUUGCCCAGAACG
rnacentral:rRNA from 1 species